GUUUGAUCCUGGCUCAGAUUGAACGCUGGCGGCAUGCCUUACACAUGCAAGUCGAACGGCAGCGCGGGGCAACCUGGCGGCGAGUGGCGAACGGGUGAGUAAUAUAUCGGAACGUACCCUGGAGUGGGGGAUAACGUAGCGAAAGUUACGCUAAUACCGCAUACGAUCUACGGAUGAAAGUGGGGGAUCGCAAGACCUCAUGCUCGUGAAGCGGCCGAUAUCUGAUUAGCUAGUUGGUGGGGUAAAGGCCUACCAAGGCAACGAUCAGUAGCUGGUCUGAGAGGACGACCAGCCACACUGGAACUGAGACACGGUCCAGACUCCUACGGGAGGCAGCAGUGGGGAAUUUUGGACAAUGGGGGCAACCCUGAUCCAGCAAUGCCGCGUGUGUGAAGAAGGCCUUCGGGUUGUAAAGCACUUUUGUCAGGAACGAAACGGUGGUUUCUAAUACAGAUCACUAAUGACGGUACCUGAAGAAUAAGCACCGGCUAACUACGUGCCAGCAGCCGCGGUAAUACGUAGGGUGCAAGCGUUAAUCGGAAUUACUGGGCGUAAAGCGUGCGCAGGCGGUUUUGUAAGUCUGAUGUGAAAUCCCCGGGCUCAACCUGGGAAUUGCAUUGGAGACUGCAAGGCUAGAAUCUGGCAGAGGGGGGUAUAAUUCCACGUGUAGCAGUGAAAUGCGUAGAGAUGUGGAGGAACACCGAUGGCGAAGGCAGCCCCCUGGGCUAAGAUUGACGCUCAUGCACGAAAGCGUGGGGAGCAAACAGGAUUAGAUACCCUGGUAGUCCACGCCCUAAACGAUGUCUACUAGUUGUCGGGUCUUAAUUGACUUGGUAACGCAGCUAACGCGUGAAGUAGACCGCCUGGGGAGUA
rnacentral:rRNA from 1 species